ACGAACAAUGCUUUACGAAAUUCGUGGCAUUAAAAAGAGGAGUCAUCCUGAGGUUCAUAUCAAGUAUCAAGAAAGCUUGCAUAUAUUCUACAAACCCAGGUAAAUAAAUAUGAAGUAAUACUCCGUCCUCCACCUUUGCAGCAUUACUUCCAUUUUGGAAACCCAAUUUUAUUUUUGCAUCUCAGUCCUUUGAACUGAGAAAAUGCAGUCACGAUCCAACUUAGGUACAUGACCCCUGCUCAAGGUAGAGCCCCUACCAAGUCGAUCUUAUAAGGAUUUCACAGAAAAUCGGACAGAAUUUCCCCUAUAUGUAGAGCUAUCCAAAUUUCCAGUCUCAAGCUAAAACUAAACAACACAAUAGGAAUCAGUCAAAACAAGUCACCACCAGCACCAACCUCUCGUUUGUAACACAAUAAAACUAGGUUCAUCACCAAAAUAUGAUAAGAAAGUUUAAUGCACACUUAAAAGUGUCGAAGAGACAAUUAAGUAAAUAAAGUGUGCUCUCUCUAACAACUUAAACUUUUAAAUUAGAUGGUCUCGACUUCAAUAUGAUAUCAGAGACGGCAUAUGUCAUAAGUUCGAGUCUCACCGCCACCAUUAUAAAAAGGAAUUUCUAUGUGCUUGGCCAAUGACAAAAAUGAAUGAAGCCUACGCGUGGAAGGGCGUGUUGAAGAGACAAUUAAGUAAAUAAAGUGUGCUUUCUCUAAUAGCUUAAUCUUUUAGAUGAGAUGACCACACACCUCAACAAAAAGUCAUAUGAUAACCAAAGUACUAAUAAUACUAACCAAAUGAGCAUUUCUAAGAGUUUAAAUUAAAGGACGACAAUAGAUGAUAAAUUUUCGUUGUGCAAAACAAUAUGAGGCUCACCAGUACAAUCAACUUCACGAUCUUUAGAUUGGAAGUCCUCGUCUACGUCGAUAGCUGUCUCUAAAAAACAACAAUAAUUAUAAAGUGAGUUAGCUAGCUCAUUGAUCAGAUAGCGCUUACCAACAACUAUUCUAUAUGAAGACAAGCCGGGAAACAUGCCAGUACAUAGUAUUUAAAAACCAUAGUUUUCUUGAAGGUAUAUUCAUAAAACAUAGUAGAAAUGUGUUUUCCUAAUAACGAUAAAUGUUCAUAUAUUGUAUCAUGAAUACAUCAUGUACAUGGUAACAAUACAGUGUCACAAUCAACUACGUACAUUACAUUGAGAGGUUUACAAGAGCAAACAAGUAAAGGACAUGCUCCAUUCAUCAAGGGAUAAGCAAAACAAGUUUUGGGGUUUGGGGUUUUGGGGGGGGGGGGGAAAUCAUGGCAGUGGUCCCCACUCAAGGAAUAUUGACAGUGGUAUACAAGUUCUACUUUCUACUAACAAAUUUUAGCAAAAAAUACUUGUCAUUAUAAAUAAAUUCCAAAUAGUGGUAAAUUCAUUUCAGUAAUUGUAGUUACAUCUUUAGCAACGGAAAAACAUCUACACUGAUGACAAAAGCAUUUAAAAUAACGGUAAAACAUCUCAAAAAAACAUUCUCGCAUGGAACAUUAACAUAGUUCAAACUUGUUUCAAACAUCAACAUAGUUACAAAAAAGCUUCAUAUGAUUUAAAAGAUUUGGUCUCAAUAUUUUAAGUUUUACGAUAAGAUAUUUCGUCUGUAAAACCCAAACCAUGCAAUAUGAGUAUAAGUUGUAGGAUACAAAUUUUGGCAAGUUAUAAAUCUAUAUAGAUUUUAUCCAUCUUGUUGCUUGGAUAAUAUGAAAAUGAAUACCAAAACAAUUGGAAAAAGAGAAAAACAACAAAUUAUGGGGGUCCUAUUUUGCAUUGUAAUAAUAAUAGCGUUACAACACCAGUUUUCACCAUCACGGCGGUGGCCAAACUUCAAAAAAUAUUCUAGUGACAACAAAUGGUGUUGCAGUGCCAAUUUUUACCACUAUGGAGUCGAACUCUAAGGUAUGGUAGUUUUAAGAGGUAUAGAAUUUUGCAUUCUUUUGAGGAACUUUUGACACACAUUGGUAGGCUAAAACUAGGAAUCAAGGAUCCAUCACAAAAAUCAAGGUUAAAAAGAAGAAGUUCAAGAUAUGAGAACACUUUCUUGUCACAUUUUGCUUUCUCUUUGCACCCAUCAACUUUUGUGGCUUUAGUACUUUUUAUUUAAAUUGAACCAUUGCUAUAGAGUGGCUUUCUUGUGGUAGGGUUAGAUGAAUCCUAUGAUUUAACUAUAUGGAUUAAUUUCUUCAUUGCAUCUAUUGUUGAUUUGAUUGACGUUUCUUAGAGCAAUUUCAAACUUAUAAGUAACAGAAAUGUCUGAAUCCUUUACUUUCUCAGAUGUGCUUGAAUCUUGAUUGAUCAUAAUUUAUUUGUUCGUCCUACAUGGUAGUAGAGACUAGUCAUGCACUUACUUGUGAGCAUAUAUACCUCGAAAGGGUCCAUAUCUAAUCGUCAGACCUAGAGUGAGUUAGUCAACCAUCUACAACACUUGGGACGUAAUACCUUUACUAUUUGUAUAAUCGAGAGAGUUACACUUGGUGAAGAUGGUGCAAUAAUUGGGUGUAAUCAAGCGAGUCGCUCAUAACUUAGAAAGUAAUUAGAUGGAGGAGGAAUGAAUACCAUAUGUUAAUCAUAGGUGAAAUCUAUAUCGAACUUGUUAAAUUAAUUAAUAACUUUAGUUUUUUUUUUCUAGUUAAAUUUAAUUUUAGAGUAUUUGCCUUGGCAAUGAAUAUAUUGACACGUCACAUUCAAAGGAGAUGCCAUGGUGCAAGUUAUUUGCGAAUGAUAUAGUACUGUUUGACGAGACGCUAGGCGAAAUUAAUGCUAGGUUGGAGGUUUGGAGACAAACCCUGAAGUCUAAAGAUUUUAGAUUGUGCAUGUCUAAAACCGGAUACUUGGAGUGCAAGUUCAGUGACGUAACUGAGGAGGCUAGCGUGGAAAUGAGGUCAGAUUCACGAGUCAUCCCUAAGAGAGGAAGUUUCAAGUACCUUAGGUCAGUAAUCCAAGGCAAUUGGGAGAUCGACGAUGAUGUCACACAUCGUAUUGGAGCGGGGUAGAUGAAAUGGAGGCUAGCAUCCAGUGUCUUGUGUGAUAAGAACGUGCCACUAAGACUUAAAGGUAAGUUCUACAAAAUAGUGGUUAGACCGACCCUGUUGUAUUGGGCUGAGUGUUGGUCAGUCAAAAACUUUCAUGUCUAGAAGAUGAAAGUAGCAGAGAUGAGGAUGCUGAGAUGGAUGUGUGGGCAUACCAGGAGAGAUAGGGUCAGGAAUGAAGAUAUUUUGAACAAUGUAAGCAUGCCUCCAUGGUGAACAAGAUGCGGGGAAUGAAGCUGAGAUGGAUCGGGCAUGUCAACAGGAGAUGUUCGGAUGCCCCAGUGAAAAGGCGCAAGAGAUUGACAAUGGUGGGUCUAAAGAUAGGUAAAGGUAGGCCGAACAAGUAUUGGAGAGAGGUGAUUAGGCAGGAUAUGACACAUCUCCAUUUCUCAAAAUAGCUUUUUUAUAGUGAAAUUCAUAUCAUAUUUUCCCUUUUGGCUCAAUAUGGGAUUAGAUUACAUGAAAAAUCGCAUGCACUGAACAUUCUAAGGGCCAGUACUAUUCAAUAUCUCACUUGCAGGCACAACCUUACUAGCCUUUAUUAUAUCAUUGAUACAGUUAGAUAGCCUCUUUUCUAUUGACAAACAAUCUUCUCCAAUAAAAGACACACUUUAACAAUGAAAGACAAUCAUAUCAAACAAUCUCCUCCAAUACAAGACAUACUUCUCAGUGUAUAAUUAUCAUAUCAAACGAUCAUCUCCAAUAGAAGACACGCUGCUCAUCCAUCUCAAAAAAAAGAAGACGCUGCUCAGUGUAUAAUUUAUAUCACAAAGCAUGGCGUCGUUCCACAUAUAUCUGUCAAAGAACCUAUUGAGCAAAUCGUCCUUUUUACAAAAACAACCAUAAUGAUAGUCGGAAAGCAGCAAAUCAUUAGCGGGAUGAAUAAUGCUUUACGAAAUUUGGGGCAUUCAAAAAGAGGAUUCAUCAUGAGGUUCAUAUCAAGUAUCAAUAAAGCUUGAAUAUAGUCUACAAACCCAGAUAAAAUAUGAAGCAAUACUCCGUCCUCCACCUUUGCACAAUUACUUCCAUUUUGGAAACCCAAUUUUAUUUGUGCAUCACAUUCCUUUGAACUGAGAAAAUGCGGUCAUGAUCCAACUUAGGUACAUGACCCCUGCUCAAGGGCAUAGCACCUACCAAAUGCGGUCAUGAUCGAACAGAGUUUCCCCUAUAUGUAGAGCUAUCCAAAUUUCUGUGUCUCAAGCUAAAAGUAUACAACACAACAAGAAUCAGAAACAAGUCACCACCAUCACCAACCUUUCGUUUGUUACACAAGAAUACUAGGUUCAUCACCAAAAUACGAUAAGAAAGUUUAAUGCAGCCGCGAAGUUGCUUUUAGUGUGGCGACGCAGGUCAUAACAAGAGGUGUUGUCCUAGGUUGAGGAGCAGCAGACCACAGCAGGGUACUCGUGCCAUGAUUCCGGCACCGGUUGCUCCACCACCCACUCAACUAGCUAGAGGUGGACAUCAGGCAGCCCGGGGUGGUGGUCAGGGCGUUAGAAGUGGAGGCUAGCCAGUUAGAGGUUGUUUGAGAGGUGGAGGUCAGAGUGGUGGCGCUCAGCCCCGUUUCUAUGCAUUCCCAGCUUGAUCUGAGGCAGAGUCAUUUGAUCCGGUCAUCACGGGUAUUAUUCUGAUUUGCCAUAGAGAUGCAUCAGUUUUAUUUGAUCCGAAUUUCACCUAUUCGUAUAUGUCAUCCUAUUUUGCUUCAAUUUUUGGAUAUGUCUCGUGAUUCUUUGAGUGCUCCUAUUUAUGUGUCUACGCCCGUUGGGGAUUCUAUUGUGGUAGACCGGGUUUAUCGUGCUUGUUUGGUUAUUAUCGGGAGCUAUGAGACUAGGGUUGACCUUCUAUUAAUUGAUAUGGUGGAUUUAACGUGAUUUUGGGCAUGGAUUGGUUGUCGCCCUAUCAUGCUAUUAUGGAUUCCAAGACUGAGACGUUAUCCAUGCCAGGGUUGCCUUGAUUAGAGUGGAGAUGGACUCCUGGUCAUUUCACUUGUAGGGUCAUUCAUAUGUGAAGGCUCGACGUAUGGUCGAGAAGGGGUGUCUGGCGUAUUUGGCCUAUAUCUGUGAUUCUAGUGCGGAGGUUCCUUCCAUGGAUUCGGUUCCGGUUGUGCGUAAGUUCCUAGAGGUGUUUCCUACGUACUUGCCAGGUAUGCCACCAGACAAAGAAAUUGACUUUUGCAUUAACUUGGUCCGGUCACUCCGCCCAUUUCUAUUUCACCAUACCACAUGGCCCCAGUUGAAUUGAAAGAAUUGAAGGAGCAGUUGCAGGAUUUUCUAGACAAUGAAUUCAUUAGACCUAGUGUCUCGCCUUAGGGUACACCAAUGUUGUUUGUGAAGAAGAAUGACGACUCUAUGAGGAUGUGUAUUGACUACAGGUAGAUGAAUAAGGCGACUAUUAAGAACAAGUACCUGUUACCGAGGAUUGAUGAUUUAUUUGACCAGCAUCAAGGUGCAAAGGUGUUUUCGAAGAUUGAUUUGAGCUCUGGCUACAUAUCGGGUGAAGAUUAGGGCAUCGGAUGUCCCUAAGACAACUUUUCGGACUCAGAUUCCUUUGUGAUUGUCUUCAUUGAUGAUAUCGUUUUUUACUCCCACAGUUGAGAGGAGCAUAAGCAACAUCCAGGCUUUGAUGGAUCGUCAGUUAUAUGCCAAGUUUUCAAAGUGUGAGUUCUUGUUGGACUUGGUUGCUUUUUUGAGACAUGUUGUAUCUUCCGAGGGCAUUAAGGUGGAUCCUAAGAAGAUUGAGGCAGUGUAGAACUGGCCUAGACCUACUUCAGCUACAGAGAUUCGGAGCUUCUUGGGUUUGGCGGACAAUUAUUAUCGGUUUGUGGAGGAGUUUUCGUCUAUCUCAGCCCCAUUGACCAGAUUGACCCAGAAUGGUGCUCUUUUCAGAUGGUCUGCCAAGUGUGAGUUGAGCUUUUAGAAGCUCAAUACUGCAUUGACUACAACCCCAGUGUUGGUAUUGCCUACAGGUUCGGGAUCUUAUACUGUGUAUUAUGAUGCAUCGCGUAUUGGGCUUGGCGCGAUAUUAACGCAGGACGGUAGGGUGAUUGCCUACGCAUCUCGGCAGUUGAAGGUUCAUGAGAAGAAUUACCAUGUGCAUGAUUUAGAGUUGGCAGCCAUUGUUCACACGCUGAAAAUUUGGAGGCAUUAUCUUCCACGUGAGGUUUAUACCGACCAUCAGAGUCUUCAGCGCUUGUCCAAACAGAAAGACCUUAAUUUGCAGCAGCAGAGAUGGUUAAAGUUGUUGAAAGACUAUGAUAUCACCAUAUUUUAUCAUACGGGGAAGGCCAAUGUAGUGGCCGAUGCAUUGAGUAUGAAGGUUGAGAGCAUGGGCAGUUUUGCAUAUUUACCGGUAGUGAAGAGGCCACUAACUAUGGACGUUAAAGCCUUGGCCAAUCGAUUUGUGAGAAUGAAUGUUUCGGAGCCUAGUCAGGUUAUUGUUUGUGUUUUUGCAUAGUCAUCGUUGUUGUAGCGUAUCAAGGCUCGCCAGUUUAAUGAUCCUCACUUGUUGGUGUUGAAAGACACGGUGCAGCGGGGUGGUGCUAAGGAGGUGGUUAUCGGUGAUGAUGGUAUUAUGCGACUCCAGGGCUGGAUUUGUGUUCCAAAUGUUGAUAGGUUAGGAGAGUUGAUCCUUGAAGAGGCUCACAGUUCGCGCUAUUCCAUUCACCUAGGUGUCAUGCAGAUGUACCGUGACCUGAAACAACACUAUUGGUGGCGGAGAAUGAAGAAAGAUAUUGUUGCUAAUGUCUCUCGGUGUUUGAAUUGUCAAUAGGUGAAGUACGAGCAUUAUAAAUCGGAUGGGUUGACUAAGAUAUUAGAGAUACCAGAGUGAAAGUGGGAGUGCAUCACUAUGGAUUGUGUAGUAGGCGUACCACAGACCCUGAGGAAGUAUGAUGCAGUCUGGGUUAUGACCAGUUGACUAAGUCUGCAUACUUCAUUCCGGUGAUGACUUCUUAUUCUUCAGAGCGAUUUGCUCAGAUUUACAUCCGGGAUAUUAUCCACUUGCACGGUGUGCCCGUUUCCAUUAUUUCUGACCGAGGCACGCAAUUCACAUUGCAUUUUUGGAGAGCCGUGCAGUGUGAGUUGGACAUGCGGGUCGAGCUAAGUACCACAUUGCAUCAUCAUACGGACUGACAGUCCGAGCGCACUAUUCAAAUAUUGGAGGACAUAUUGUAGGCAUGCUCUAUGGAUUUCGGGGGUUAGUGAGACUAGUUUUUACCUCUAGCAGAGUUCGCCUACAACAAUAGCUAUCAGUCGAGCAUCCAGAUGGCUCCGUACGAGGCCUUAUAUGGGAAGCGAUGUCGUUCUUCGAUUGGUUGGUUUGAGCCUGGAGAGGCUAGAUUGUUGGGUACUAACUUGGUUCGUGAUGCUUUGGAAAAGGUUAAGGUGAUCUAGGAGCGGCUUCGUACAUCUCAGUCCAGGCAGAAGAGUUAUGCGGGCCGGAAGGUCCUAUAUGUGACUUACAUGGUGGGUGUAAAUGUUCUUCUCCAAGUAUCGCCUAUGAAAGGCGUGAUGCGGUUUGGGAAGAAGGGCAAGUUGAGGUCGAGGUUUAUUGGCCCGUUCGAGAUCUUAGAGAAAAUUGGGAAGGUUAUUUACAAGCUUGCAUUGCCUCCUAGCCUACCAGGGGUACAUCAUGUAUUUCACGUUUUUAUGCUUCGGAAGUACCAUGAAGACAUGUCACAAGUUUUAGACUUCAGCACAGUGUAGCUUGAUGAAAAUUUGGCCUACGAGGAAGAGCUGGUGGCCAUUCUAAACCGGCAGGCUCGUAAGUUGAGAUCGAAAAUUUUUCCCUCCGUGAAAGUGCAAUGGAGAGGCCAGUAGAUUUAGGAGGCAACGUGGGAGUCCGAGUCCGAUCGGAGUAUAUACCCCACCUUUUUACUAGUCCAGGUACUUUUUCUAUGUCCGUUCGAGGACGAACGUUUCUUUUAGAGGUGGAGAAUGUGACGACUCGAUAAGUCGUUUUGAGUACUAGCCUUAAUUUCUGUAUUACCAGACCUCUCAUAACUUUAUUUGAUGUUUCUUAAUUUGCGUGCGUGGUUUAUGUCGCUUUUCGAAAAGGUUUUACGUAAAAAUUUAAAGAAAAUGUGAUUUUGACGAUUCCGGUAGGUUCGUAUAAUGUUUUUGGACUUGUACGCACGUUUGGUUGGGGUCCGGGGGUGACCCAAGGGCAUUUCGACGCAUUAUGUGAAAAUUGAGUUUUAAGCUGAAAUUCUUGAGUUUUGAUAAUAGAUUCUUGUUAUUUGAUGUAAUUUUGAUGAUUUGAGGUUGCGAGCAAGUUUGUAGGAUGUUAUCACACUUGUGUGCAUGUUCAGUUUGGAGCCUGAGGGGCUCGAAUGAGUUUUGGAUGUGAUUCAGAAGGCUUUGAAUUGUUGGUGCUUUUGUUAGUGUCUUAGGUCUGCAGGUCUCGCAUUUGCGAUGACCUGUUCACAAUUGUGAGUCCUGCUUUUGGGAAGUUUGAUUCACAAAUGCGAUGACUGGGGAGGGGCUGCUGGCUUCGCAACAACAAAGAUGUUAUCGCAAAUGCUAUCCUUUGGGACUUCUCUUUUGCGGUUGUUCGGUCGCAAAUGCGAUUUGAGCUUAUCCGGACAACCUUCACAAAUGGGAAUGGGGGUAUCGCAAAUGGGAAGGGGGGAGGUUCGCAAAUGUGAACUUUUUGUUGCUUUUGCGACCAUUGAUGGCUAGACAGCUGUUUGCUUUUGUGAACAGUGUUCCACAUUUGCGAACAUCGUAAUUGCGGACCCAGCUGGGUAAAAGAGGAGAAAAUUCGAACUUAGCUCAUUUUACACCAUUUUUCAUCUCUAAGCUCUUUAGAGGCAAUCUUUAAAGAAUUGUUUCUUCCCAAAUUCAUUGGUAAGCAUCUUUAACUAGUUUUCAAUCAAUUUCAAUUACUUUUCAUGAGGUUUUAACAUCAAAUCUAAGAAUUUUAUAUUAGAAACGGAAAAGGCCUAAAAAUGCCACUCAACUAACAGAAAUGGCCUAUCUAUGCCAUCCGUUAAAAGGUUGGCCUAUUCAUGCCACUAACGUUAUACUUUUGGCCUAUUCAUGCCACUGACGUUAUACUUUUGGCCUAUUUAUGCCAUUGUCUACUAACAACUCCAUUUUUUGAUUUUUCCGUAAUAAGAAUUAAUUUUUCGACCCCACCUUUGCCACGUGUCUUUAUAUUACUGGUUCUUCUUUACUUGACCCUACAUUUCUUUUAACCCUAAUUAUGUAUAAUUAACCAUGCCCAACCCGAUAAAAUACAACCAUCUUUUAACCCAACCCCUAAUUCUUUGUCACGAUCCAAAAUCCAACUAGUCGUGAUGGCACCGAACUCAACCCGCUAGGUAAGCCAAUUAACGACUAUCCAAUUUAAUGAGAUUUUUUAAAGACAAAUAAAUGAUAAAAUAACUUAUUAAAUCUCUGUGGGAAAUGCAUUAAGGUUAAGUUAUUUUAUCAUUUAUUUGUCUUAAAAAAAAAUCUCAUUAAAUUGGAUAGUUGUUAAUUGGCUUACUUAGCGGGUUGGGUUAGGUGCCAUCAACACUAGUUGGAUUUGGGUCGUGACAAGGAAUUAGGGGUUGAGUUAAAAGAUGGUUGGAUUUUAUCGGGUUGGGCAUGGUUAAUUAUACAUAAUCAGAGUUAAAAGAAAUGCAGGGUCAAGCAAAGAAGAACCAGUAAUAUAAAGACACGUGGCAAAGGUGGGGUCGAAAAAUUAAUUCUUAUUACGGAAAACCAGAAAAUGGAAUUGUUAGUAGACAAUGGCAUAAAUAGGCCAAAAGUAUAACGUCAGUGGCAUGAAUAGGCCAAAAGUAUAACGUUAGUGGCAUGAAUAGACUAACCUUUUAACGGAUGGCAUAGAUAAGCCAUUUCUGUUAGUUGAGUGAAAUUUUUAGGACUUUUUCGUAUUAGAAAUUAGAGGUUUUGGAUAGAAUUUAGGGAAUUUAUAAAAUUGAGAUUUAAAGCUCAAAUUGAGGUCGGAUUUUGAAACAAAUCACAUAACCGGGCUCGAGGGUGAAUGAGUAAUCGAGAUUUGGUCCGAAUCUCGAGUUUUGACAAGGCAGUCCAGGGUUGACUUUUGAUUGACGUUUUCAAUUUUGCUAAAGAUUGAACUUUUUUUCAUUCGUGGGUAGCUUCUAAAGCUUAUUUUGAAUUGUUUGAACGAUAUUUAGCUAGAUUUGGUUGGUUUGGAGGUUUGUUCGAAAGGAAAAGUCGUGAUUGAAUGUUGAUUUGGUUGCGGAAAGAGGUAAGUGUCGUGUUUAACUUUGAUUUGAGUGAAUUAUGAUUUCUUUGGUCUAUUUGCUAUGUGAACUAGAUGUGGGAACGUCGUAUAUACGUGGUGACGAGUGUAUAUGCACUGCCAUGGGUUAAAGUAUGUGGGUUGGGCUAUUUACCUUUAUAUCUUUAUUUAUUCUAUGUUAUAUUUCGUUUCAUGCUUUGAUUUGCUACAUGUCCUUACUUGUUAUUCAUGCCUUACUUGUUAUCUGUCAAUUAGUUGCUACAUGUUUCGGUUUAUUCAUUCUUCAAUCAAUACCUGCUUACAGCUAUAUGUUCCUACCUGUAUUAAUUGUAGAUCUUGAUUGAUUCAUGUCUUUACUUGCCUUAGUUGUCUUUACCUUACUUGUGCACUAUAUUAUAUUGUGUCCGAUUGUGGGAGUUCUUUAGCUAUUCUUAUAUUGAUGAUUUGUCGAGGUUUGUGAAUACGAGGUAUUGGUUAUUCUCUACUUGUACUGGUAGUUCCUUGAUGUUCUAUACGCUUUAUUUCCUUUUGUGCUGAGAUUACAAAAUUUGGUUGUGUUGAGUUGUUCAUGUUAAUGAGUUGGUAUUGGGAACGGGUUGCGCUCCUCAACAAUAUUGAAACGAAUUGAUAAUAGGAACGGGUUUCACGCCGCAACAAAUAUUGAUAUGAUGUUGAGAUCGUGUUGCACGCCACAUCAGAUAUUAUGAUAAAUGUUGGGAUCAAAGUGCACACUGCAACGAAGUACGAUGUAUUGUAAUGUCUGUAGCUGCAGUAUUCUAUGGUUGUACUAUGAUAUGAGGAUAUUGUGAUGGUGUUAUUCUAGGGGCCUCUGUUAGUUGACCUUCGGGUCCCGUUCUAAUGAGUAGUUGUUUUCUCUAUAUUUAUGUUGUAUUUCAUUUAUUAUUCGUACAAGUGUCUUGUCAUAGCCUCGUCACUACUUCGUCGACAUUAUGCUCGACCCUUACAGAGUACAUGGGACCGGUUGUACUCACACUACACUUCUGCACUUCUUGUGCAGAUCUCGGUGUUGGUCCCAAGGGCGCGUAGUGGAGUUUGCUCGGAUCUGAUAUGCUCAGGAGACUUGAGGUGGAGGUGCACAACGUACGCAAUCCCUGAAAUCCUCUUCUAUUUCGUUUUUACUGAUUAUUUUGUUUCAAACAGAUGUAUUUCAUUCAAACCAUAUUUGUACUAUUUUAAUUGCUCAUGUACUUAUGACUCCGAAUUUUUGGGAUUAGUAUAAACUGCGUUACUUAUGUGUUUAUUUCCUAUAUUUCAGAGUUUAUAAAUCGUUAGUUUUCAUUAUUCUGCUUUAAAAAUGUUAAAAUUGGUCAAUUAUUUAGCCAAUAUUGGCUUGCCUAGCAAGUGAAUGUUGGUUGCUAUCACAAGUACAUAAUUAGAAUUUCGGAUCGUGACAGACAUGUCUGAGGGUCAUUGUUUAAGGGCAUGACUGUAGCCUAGAACCCUACUAAUAGGACUGUUUAAGUGAGGAUCAGGAUUGUGGUACAUUGGUCUCAUGAUCACAAUUUUAGUUCACUCUCUAGUUACCUUACUUUACUAUUUUAGUCUCAAAUGUGGUGCCUUGACCGCAACCAGGAUUGAGUGCAAUAUUUUUUUUAUAAUAGUGAAGUCCAGGCCAGCUUGCACGCACCUCGAUUAAUUUUACGGGGUAGCUGCUACCUCCCAGCAACAACAUAUAAAUGUAACUCUAUCCAUGAAGACUUGGAUAAUUGGGAAGAAAUCAUCUAGUAUUUUUGUCUCCAUUCGGAAGUGAACCUGAGAUCUCAUGGUUCUAACGCAUUCAAUUGACCACUAGGCCGCACCCUUGGAUGCGUGACAAGCUAUAGGUUCAAUUGAACCCAAUAAUUUUAAUACAGUUCUUAGAUAUACAUAUCUAAAAAAUCAUCAAAAGUGCACUAAAUAUUAAAUUUUUGAUCCCACAACUUUAAAGUGCAAUGGGUUUAACCGCGGAACAUAAAGAUUGAACCCAACAAAUUUAAGGUGUGGAUUCGUCUAUGAUCACAACUACGAUUCUGGUUUCUAUUUUAUGUUGGUCCAAUCAGUCUGAACUACUUUUACAAUUUCCAAACAAUAUUCAGUACAAAAAGGCACAUUCUUCCAACAUUAUCCUAUAAAUACAUAAUAGGCACAUAUGAACACAAUCAUCAAACAUGUAUACUCGGCACAUACAACAAGCACCAGGCCAAAAGAUAAGGGCAAUGAAAAAAAUUAAAAAUUAGAAACUUGGAAGAUUACCAUAAAAUAUAUGGAGUUGCGUAACCUUUAAGGACCCUAGUCCAUAUCCUCAUCACCAAAUGAAUAGAAUAGAUUGACUAACAGUGAUGAAUCGUCUGAUUCUCCAGUCGCCAUAGCAGAAGCAACAAGUUCGGCGAUAAGCAACAAGUUCGAU
rnacentral:lncRNA from 1 species